GACGAACGCUGGCGGUGUGCUUCACACAUGCAAGUCGAACGAGGUAGCAAUACCUAGUGGCGGACGGGUGAGUAACACGUGGGAAUCUGCCCUAAGGUGGGGGAUAGCAGACCGAAAGGUCUAUUAAUACCGCAUAUGUCGCAAGAUGAAAGCAGUAAUGCGCCUUUGGAUGAGCCCGCGUCCGAUUAGGUAGUUGGUGGGGUAAAAGCCUACCAAGCCUGCGAUCGGUAACUGGUCUGAGAGGACGACCAGUCACACUGGGACUGAGACACGGCCCAGACUCCUACGGGAGGCAGCAGUGGGAAUUUUGGACAAUGGGGGAAACCCUGAUCCAGCAAUGCCGCGUGUGUGACGAAGGCCUU
rnacentral:rRNA from 1 species